rnacentral:lncRNA from 1 species
UAAUGUGGAUAAACUAGACAUACUAGGCACCAUCUUCUGAAGCUUGGACAAGCUAGGAUGUCCUAAACGACUGUGCAGUAGGUCUGGAGGAUCUGCAGCUAGACAGGCCUUAGAGGAUGUUAGGGAGUUAAGGUAGUAGAGUCCGUCUGAUUCAAGUCCUGUUCCAAUCGGAGGAUCUGCAACUAGACAGGCCUUGGAGGAUUUUAGUGAGUUAAGGUAGUAAAGUCCUUCUGAUUGAAGUCCUGUUCCAAUCGUCUGUCCCGUAUUGCGGUCCUGCAUAAUAAAAGAAUCAUCAAUAAAAUUUAUACCACAAUGGAGGGCACAAGUCAAACGACUAACAGAUGCAAGAUUAAAAGGACAACCAGGGACAUAAAGAACAAAAUCUAGAGUGACAGUGGGUAGGGGAUUCGCUUGUCCAACUCCUUUUGCUUUAGUUUGAGACUCAUUGGCUAAAGUAGCGUUGGGAAGAGACUGUGAAUACGCAAUAUUUGACAAAAGAGAUUUAUUACCAAAGAUAUGAUCAGAAGCAGCUGAGUCCACAACCCAUUGUUCAAGAGGACUAGACUGGGAAACACAAGCAAAAGAAUUACCAGCAACAG